rnacentral:rRNA from 1 species
UGGAUGAACGCUGGCGGCGUGCCUAAUACAUGCAAGUCGAACGAGUUCUCGUUGAUGAUCGGUGCUUGCACCGAGAUUCAACAUGGAACGAGUGGCGGACGGGUGAGUAACACGUGGGUAACCUGCCCUUAAGUGGGGGAUAACAUUUGGAAACAGAUGCUAAUACCGCAUAGAUCCAAGAACCGCAUGGUUCUUGGCUGAAAGAUGGCGUAAGCUAUCGCUUUUGGAUGGACCCGCGGCGUAUUAGCUAGUUGGUGAGGUAAUGGCUCACCAAGGCGAUGAUACGUAGCCGAACUGAGAGGUUGAUCGGCCACAUUGGGACUGAGACACGGCCCAAACUCCUACGGGAGGCAGCAGUAGGGAAUCUUCCACAAUGGACGCAAGUCUGAUGGAGCAACGCCGCGUGAGUGAAGAAGGCUUUCGGGUCGUAAAACUCUGUUGUUGGAGAAGAAUGGUCGGCAGAGUAACUGUUGUCGGCGUGACGGUAUCCAACCAGAAAGCCACGGCUAACUACGUGCCAGCAGCCGCGGUAAUACGUAGGUGGCAAGCGUUAUCCGGAUUUAUUGGGCGUAAAGCGAGCGCAGGCGGUUUUUUAAGUCUGAUGUGAAAGCCCUCGGCUUAACCGAGGAAGCGCAUCGGAAACUGGGAAACUUGAGUGCAGAAGAGGACAGUGGAACUCCAUGUGUAGCGGUGAAAUGCGUAGAUAUAUGGAAGAACACCAGUGGCGAAGGCGGCUGUCUGGUCUGUAACUGACGCUGAGGCUCGAAAGCAUGGGUAGCGAACAGGAUUAGAUACCCUGGUAGUCCAUGCCGUAAACGAUGAAUGCUAGGUGUUGGAGGGUUUCCGCCCUUCAGUGCCGCAGCUAACGCAUUAAGCAUUCCGCCUGGGGAGUACGACCGCAAGGUUGAACCUCAAAGGAAUUGACGGGGGCCCGCACAAGCGGUGGAGCAUGUGGUUUAAUUCGAAGCAACGCGAAGAACCUUACCAGGUCUUGACAUCUUUUGAUCACCUGAGAGAUCAGGUUUCCCCUUCGGGGGCAAAAUGACAGGUGGUGCAUGGUUGUCGUCAGCUCGUGUCGUGAGAUGUUGGGUUAAGUCCCGCAACGAGCGCAACCCUUAUGACUAGUUGCCAGCAUUUAGUUGGGCACUCUAGUAAGACUGCCGGUGACAAACCGGAGGAAGGUGGGGAUGACGUCAAAUCAUCAUGCCCCUUAUGACCUGGGCUACACACGUGCUACAAUGGAUGGUACAACGAGUUGCGAGACCGCGAGGUCAAGCUAAUCUCUUAAAGCCAUUCUCAGUUCGGACUGUAGGCUGCAACUCGCCUACACGAAGUCGGAAUCGCUAGUAAUCGCGGAUCAGCACGCCGCGGUGAAUACGUUCCCGGGCCUUGUACACACCGCCCGUCACACCAUGAGAGUUUGUAACACCCGAAGCCGGUGGCGUAACCCUUUUAGGGAGCGAGCCGUCUAAGGUGGGACAAAUGAU